rnacentral:rRNA from 1 species
GAGUUUGAUCAUGGCUCAGAAUCAACGCUGGCGGCGCGCUUAACACAUGCAAGUCGGACGAGAAAGGGGAGCAAUCCCUGAGUAAAGUGGCGUACGGGUGAGUAACACGUGGGUAAUCUACCUUCUGGUGGGGAAUAACCCUGGGAAACCGGGGCUAAUACCGCAUAAGGCCCCAUUGAUUAGAUGGUGGCGAAAGGAGCAAUUCGCCGGAAGAGGAGCCCGCGGCUGAUUAGCUAGUUGGUGAGGUAAAGGCUCACCAAGGCAUUGAUCGGUAGCCGGCCUGAGAGGGCACACGGCCACACUGGCACUGAAACACGGGCCAGACUCCUACGGGAGGCAGCAGUGGGGAAUCUUGCACAAUGGGGGAAACCCUGAUGCAGCGACGCCGCGUGAGCGAUGAAGCCCUUCGGGGUGUAAAGCUCUUUCGGCAGGGACGAUAAUGACGGUACCUGAAGAAGAAGCUGCGGCUAACUACGUGCCAGCAGCCGCGGUAAUACGUAGGCAGCGAGCGUUGUUCGGAGUUACUGGGCGUAAAGAGUGCGUAGGCGGUUUUCUAAGUUUGGUGUGAAAUCUCCCGGCUUAACUGGGAGGGUGCGCCGAAAACUGGAAGGCUUGAGUAUGGGAGAGGUAAGCGGAAUUCCUGGUGUAGCGGUGAAAUUUGUAGAUAUUGGGAAGAACACCGAUGGCGAAGGCAGCCAUCUGGACCGACACUGACGCUGAGGCGCGAAAGCGUGGGGAGCAAACAGGAUUAGAUACCCUGGUAGUCCACGCCGUAAACGAUGAGUGCUAGACGUCGGGGC